rnacentral:rRNA from 1 species
UACAGAGGUCUCAAGCGUUGUUCGGAUUCAUUGGGCGUAAAGGGUGUGUAGGUGGCGCGCUAAGUCGGGUGUGAAAUUUCGGAGCUUAACUCCGAAACUGCAUUCGAUACUGCCGUGCUUGAGGACUGGAGAGGAGACUGGAAUUUACGGUGUAGCGGUGAAAUGCGUAGAUAUCGUAAGGAAGACCAGUGGCGAAGGCGGUCUCUGGACAGUUCCUGACGCUGAGGCACGAAGGUCAGGGGAGCAAACGGG